rnacentral:lncRNA from 11 species
CAUGGAAACAAUGCAGCAUCUACAAGGAAAGCAAAAAAGUCUCCUAAUGGGAUGAGAAACUUGAAGAAAACCAUUGUUUACCAAUAUAGGCUCAAGAGCUUCCCCAAAUAGCUGAGUGCCCACAGAGAUGGAGAAGAUGAAGCUUUGUUUCAAGCAGUGGCAUCCACCUACCAACACUCCCUAUCCAUCUGAGAACUUUGAACUACAAUGCACUUCAGACAAACUAUGAGAUUGAUCCACAACCAGGAAUCAGCUGUGGCUGGAUGCUAUGUUUGUGAGCUGCUGCUUUAUGGAAUAUGUCAUGAGAGGACCCAAAGCGACCUACAACAUAUUAAAAUCAUGUAAACAACAAUCCAAAUACAUCGAUAAAAAGUAUAAAAUAUUAUAAGACAAACCGUUUAAAACAACAAUAAUAAACAUUCACAUUCUUGUGGCAUCAUGUCAGAUUAUGUUGCACUUUGU